UUGCACGCUGGCGGCAUGCUUUACACAUGCCAGUCGCGCGGCAGCGCGGGGGCAACCCUGGCGGCGAGCGGCGAACGGGUGAGUAAUGCAUCGGAACGUAUCCUCGAGUGGGGGAUAACCCAGCGAAAGUUGGGCUAAUACCGCAUGAGCUCUGAGGAGGAAAGCGGGGGACCUGCGAGGGCCUCGCGCUGGAGGAGCGGCCGAUGUCCGAUUAGCUAGUUGGUGGGGUAAAGGCUUACCAAGGCGACGAUCGGUAGCUGGUCUGAGAGGAUGAUCAGCCACACUGGGACUGAGACACGGCCCAGACUCCUACGGGAGGCAGCAGUGGGGAAUUUUGGACAAUGGGGGCAACCCUGAUCCAGCCAUGCCGCGUGAGUGAAGAAGGCCUUCGGGUUGUAAAGCUCUUUCGGACGGAACGAAAUGGGCGGGACUAAUACUCCUGUCUGAUGACGGUACCGUAAGAAGAAGCACCGGCUAACUACGUG
rnacentral:rRNA from 1 species